UAUUGAGCCAGGGACAUGACAGUGAGGUAUAGUAGUUUUUUGACACAGCAAACCCCAUCCAUCAUCAGUUCAUCACUCAUUCUUGUAUCUGUACAUGGAAGAAUUGGAAGAGAAGAGGAGUCCAUCCCCCCAUCCCCCAUCCCCCACCCCAACCAAAAAACAAAAAAGGGAAAAAAAUGAGAAAAAAAGAAAAAAAAUCAAAGUAAGGAAUAUGGAGAAGUCAAAAAGGAAAAGAGAAAAGGGAAAGAAGGAAGCAGAAAUGUAUCAGUAAGGUUUAACUUGUUUGACAGCGGCAUCACAUUUUGGUAGCCGUCAGGAGCCCAUCAACUUUUGCACCCUCUUUUUUUCUGUUGUUUUGUACCUUAAUCUUUAUUUCUUUGUUACAUUCCUUUUCCUCCCCCCCUCAGAUGUAACUGAUAGAAUUGAUUUACAUGAUAGUUCAAUUUCACCAGCCAUGGCUAUCUACUUGCUCAUAGAAUAUUCACUCCCCCAGGUUCUUACUUUCUGAAGAAAAAACCUCCAGGUUUCACAUGGGGUAUUCAUUCAUCCUUGGUUGUUGGUAUAGACUGUCAAUCGGCAUAGGGAAGAGAUGAAGAUACCUUAUUCAGCUGCCCAGCUGAAUAAUUUGCAUCUGAAUAUGAGGAGUUGUUGGAAGAUGGUUUUGGGCAAGCCCACAGAAAAGGGGAACGGAGGUUUUGAUGGUUUAGAACAAGGCACAUUGGAAAAGAGAUAAUGACAUUCAUGAAAGGGAAUAUGUUGAAGUUGGGAAUAUCAGUCCCAUUUGGUCAAUGCAAAAUUGGACUUUACUUCUAAGAAAAAGCGCACAUGAAAAAAAUGCUAGUGAGGAGCAAGUGCUGAAUUUUUGAAAAAUGGUGUCUUACUUACCAUCACAUUCAAAAAUGUGAUUGAUGGUGAAUGAUGAUAAGGUAUCUGCAGCAUGCGAGCAUCAUUGAAAAUUUCCUCUAUUUCUAUGCAAAAGAAAAGUGGCCCAAAUGACAAUUUUUCUUAAUUCAAUCCGCUGUCUCAUCAAACCCUCCACCUUCAUCAAAGAUUUGACCUUUUAAGAACUCACAAAGGCUCAGGAAACAAAAGAGAUAACAUUUUUUUUAUAGUAAAUAAAAAAAUAAAUUUAUAGUAAAUAAAUUAUUUUUAUCAAUAAAUUAUUUUGUAUUUUUCAUAAUAUAAUUAAAGGAUAAUUAUGUUUCGGGUCUAAUUGGAUCCAAAAAUUAAGUUUUGAUCCAUAUAAGUUCAUUAUUUAAGCCCAAGAUUUAGAGAAAGUGUGAAAAUUGAGAAGAAGAAUAUUAAUUUUUUAUCUUUUCAAAAUUAACCUUUAUUGAUUAUGAAAAAAAAGAAUAGAAAAACAUUAAUUUAAAUUUGAUUUCUUUUGCAAACCUCAAUAAAAUUUAAUAUAAUUUAGUAAUUUAGAAACAAAUACAUCAUUUUUCAAAAAAAAUAAAAAUAAAUUAUUAUUAUUUAAAAAUCAAACAUCUUGGAAAAUAUAUAUUUUUAAAAUUGUAUAUAUAAAAAAUAACUAAAAAUAUGUCAAAUUUUUUUUUAAAUGACUUAUUUUUAUAAUUUUUUUUUAAAAAAUUAGUUUUCUAAAAUUAAUAAAUUUUCAAAAUAAUUAUUUAAAAAAAAUAAAAAAGUUUCUCAUUAUGAUAGAAAAUAAUUUUGAAGGGUAUAUUGAUAUCUUCAUAUUUUAUAUAAUUCCCAUCAAUUAUGCAAUUUUUAUGAAUCAAAUCUUAAUUUUUGGCUCAGUUGAGUCCAAAAGACAAUUUUCCCUAUGAUUAGAAGAAAAUCAUUUUCAUUAUUUUUUUUUUCCUUAUCAUUUUUUAUCAACCUUGAAGAACUCAGAUAUGUUGGUAAGAAUGAUGACUUAUUGUCUUAAUCAAUCAAUUCUCUAUUGAAGAAUUUCAAUAAAUGUAACAAAAUUUUAAAAUUUGUUAUUAAAUAAGAUAAUUUUUAAUAGCAAGUUUAAGGCGUUUUUAGAAUGUUUUGAGAAGUUAUUCAUUUGAAAACUAUUUUUACGCUUAUAAAUCAAUUUGAUGUUCAAAAGCCAAGCGUUGGGAUGAUGAUGAAUGCAUUCUAGCUGUUUGUAAAGUUCUCAAGACACACGGAGUCUGUGGUUUUGAAGGGAAAUCAAAGCAAUGCAAUGCGCAAUGUACAAAGGCACUUCCAUAAAACCACAAUCUCCCCAUUCUCCAACACCCUCCCCACCUUCCUUUACCUCCAUUUCACCUCUCUCUUCAGCCCCUUCUCGUCGUUUUCACACUCAUCUUCCUCACAAUGGUUCUCUCUCCUCCGAACCGCCAUCUCAACCCACAACUUACUUCUCGGGAAAUGCACCCACGCCCGCAUUGUUGUUUCCGGCUCCGCCGGCGACCAUUUUCUGUCCAACAACCUCCUGACUAUGUACUCCAAAUGUGGGUCCCUCUCCUCCGCUCGCCAGGUGUUCGACACAACUCCCGAGCGAGACCUUGUCACUUGGAACGCGAUUCUCGGUGCCUAUGCUGCGUCUGUUGACUCCAAUGACGGUAAUGCUCAAGAGGGGCUUCAUCUUUUUCGGCUUUUACGGGCGUCGUUGGGUUCGACUACUAGGAUGACCUUGGCUCCUGUGUUGAAGCUGUGUUUGAAUUCUGGGUGUUUGUGGGCUGCCGAGGGGGUUCAUGGGUAUGCGAUUAAGAUUGGGUUGGAAUGGGAUGUUUUUGUUUCUGGGGCACUUGUGAAUAUUUAUUCCAAGUGUGGGAGGAUGAGGGAUGCUAGGCUUUUGUUUGAUUGGAUGCGGGAAAGGGACGUGGUGUUGUGGAAUAUGAUGCUUAAGGGAUAUGUGCAAUUGGGUCUUGAGAAGGAGGCAUUUCAACUCUUCUCAGAGUUCCAUCGGAGCGGGUUACGGCCUGAUGAGUUCAGUGUGCAAUUAAUUCUUAAUGGGGUUUCUGAAGUGAAUUGGGAUGAAGGCAAGUGGCUUGCGGACCAGGUUCAAGCUUAUGCUGCUAAAUUAUCUUUGUCUGAUGAUAAUCCGGAUGUGUUUUGUUGGAAUAAGAAAUUGUCUGAGUGUCUCUGGGCGGGUGAUAAUUGGGGUGCAAUUGAAUGCUUCGUGAAUAUGAAUGGAUUAAAUAUAGAUUACGAUGCUGUGACAUUACUUGUGGUUUUGGCUGCAGUUGCAGGUACAGAUGAUUUAGAAUUGGGGAAACAAGUCCAUGGCAUUGCAGUGAAAUCAGGUUUGGAUUCAGACGUCUCUGUUGCAAAUAGUCUUGUCAACAUGUAUUCAAAGAUGGGUUGUGCUUAUUUUGCAAGAGAAGUGUUCAAUGACAUGAAACAUUUGGAUUUAAUUUCAUGGAACUCAAUGAUAUCAAGCUGUGCUCAGAGUAGUUUAGAGGAGGAAUCAGUGAACCUAUUUAUAGAUCUAUUACAUGAGGGCCUAAAACCAGAUCAUUUUACAUUGGCUAGCGUUUUGAGGGCUUGCUCCUCUCUUAUAGAUGGCUUGAAUAUUAGUAGACAAAUUCAUGUUCAUGCUCUAAAAACUGGUAACAUUGCUGACAGUUUUGUAGCCACGACGCUUAUUGAUGUUUAUUCCAAGAGUGGAAAAAUGGAGGAAGCAGAGUUCCUUUUUCAAAAUAAAGAUGAUUUGGAUCUGGCAUGUUGGAAUGCAAUGAUGUUUGGGUACAUAAUAGGCAAUGACGGUAAGAAAGCAUUGGAGCUGUUUAGUCUAAUCCACAAAAGUGGAGAGAAGUCAGAUCAGAUCACAUUGGCAACUGCAGCUAAAGCCUGUGGUUGCUUAGUGUUGUUAGAUCAAGGAAAGCAAAUACACGCUCACGCAAUAAAAGCAGGGUUUGAUUCAGAUUUACAUGUCAAUAGUGGAAUUCUAGAUAUGUAUAUCAAAUGUGGAGACAUGGUGAAUGCAGGCAUCGUAUUCAAUUAUAUAUCUGCACCUGAUGAUGUUGCAUGGACAUCCAUGAUUUCAGGAUGCGUGGAUAAUGGGAAUGAGGACCAGGCUCUUAGGAUAUACCAUCGGAUGAGGCAAUCCAGGGUCAUGCCUGAUGAAUACACAUUUGCUACCCUCAUCAAAGCCAGCUCUUGUGUAACAGCAUUGGAACAAGGAAGACAACUGCAUGCAAAUGUGAUCAAGUUGGAUUGUGUUUCAGACCCUUUUGUCGGGACUUCACUUGUUGACAUGUAUGCGAAGUGUGGCAACAUAGAAGAUGCUUAUCGGUUAUUUAAGAAAAUGAAUGUGAGGAACAUCGCGCUAUGGAAUGCCAUGUUAGUGGGUUUAGCUCAACAUGGGAAUGCUGAAGAAGCCGUUAACCUUUUCAAGAGUAUGAAAUCUCAUGGAAUUGAACCUGAUAGAGUCUCCUUUAUUGGAAUCCUUUCAGCCUGUAGCCAUGCUGGCUUAACUUCUGAAGCCUAUGAGUAUUUACAUUCAAUGCCCAAUGAUUACGGUAUUGAGCCUGAGAUUGAGCAUUAUUCUUGUCUAGUUGAUGCCCUAGGGCGUGCAGGGCUCGUCCAAGAGGCAGAUAAAGUGAUUGAAACGAUGCCCUUCAAAGCUUCUGCUUCAAUUAAUAGAGCCCUUCUUGGUGCUUGUAGGAUCCAAGGGGAUGUAGAAACUGGAAAGCGUGUGGCUGCACGGCUCUUUGCUUUGGAACCAUUCGACUCUGCAGCUUAUGUUCUUUUGUCUAAUAUCUAUGCUGCUGCCAACCGAUGGGAUGAUGUAACUGAUGCUAGAAAAAUGAUGAAGAGGAAGAAUGUAAAGAAGGAUCCCGGGUUUAGUUGGAUUGAUGUGAAGAACAUGCUGCAUUUGUUUGUGGUGGAUGAUAGAUCACACCCCCAAGCUGAUAUAAUCUAUGACAAAGUAGAGGAAAUGAUGAAAACAAUCAGAGAAGAUGGAUAUGUUCCUGAUACGGAAUUCGUGCUGCUUGAUGUAGAAGAUGAGGAGAAAGAGCGGUCUCUCUAUUACCAUAGUGAAAAGCUUGCGAUAGCUUAUGGACUUAUAAGCACUCCUGCAUCAACCACAAUCCGAGUGAUUAAAAACCUUAGAGUUUGUGGGGAUUGCCAUAAUGCAAUCAAGUACAUAUCGAAAGUUUUUGAAAGAGAAAUUGUGUUGAGAGAUGCAAAUCGCUUCCACCAUUUUAGAGAUGGAGUAUGCUCUUGUGGGGAUUAUUGGUAAUGUAUGUAGGCUUGUUUGGUUCGAUUUUUAAGAAGUUAAAAGCUCUUUUAUAAGCUCGAUAAAAGCUUGUAUACUUAUCCGAUUAAAUUUUGUUUAAAGAGAUUAUGAUUUUAAAAAAGAGCUUAAGUCAAGCAAAUGUGAUUUUUAUAAAACCUCUAUUUUGGCUUAUGCAAGAGGUUUUUUCAUGUUUGAUGAAAUUUUUACAAUGUCAAUAGUGUCCUUUUAAAAUUGUAACUUUAACUUUUAGCUAAAAUAAAAAAUAGGGAUAACAAACGGGGUUGUAAGAGCUCAUCACUUUUUAGUUUUUUUUCUUUUCCCCUCUUGUAAAAUCCAUAUAAUUUAACUAAUGACAAAGAAAUUUUGGAAAUGUACAUUGUUAGAGUCCCAUAAUUCGGAUUAUUUCUACUUUAUGAUAGAUUAAAUUCAAAAAAUGAUCACUUUCUAGCUCUUUAUAUUAUUGAUGUAUCAUCUGAGUUGAUUUUGCUUGAGAUUUUAUAUCACAACAUUAUGAACUUUUCUAUAUGUUAUCGAAAGCCUUAGUUGAAUAUGAAUGCAUGUUGUGAGAUCUCAUGGCUUGAGAGAGGGUGAACUCCUUUUAAUUUUUUAGACGCAUUUAAAAUCCAUGAGAACCUUGGUGCAUUUCAGGCAAUAUCUAUAAAUGAGAGAGUUUCGUUCUUAUAAAUGAUAUUAGAGUUGAUUAUUGAAAAUGUAUCCGUUUGGCUCCACAAAUACAACCACCAAUUUACUUAAUAGAAAAUAGUUUAAGCCCGGUCUAAAAACUAUUCUUGAAAACAAUUUUUGGUUCUUUAAGAUUGAAAACAUUCAUUUGACAAGCUUAUGACAAUUUUUUUAUAAAAAAUUAUUUUUUUAAGAAUUUGUAUUGAAAUGUAUUGUCUUUAGUAAAUAUGUUAAAUGUUUUCAAUUAUUUUUUAUAUAAUACUUUGAAUAAUAAUUAAAAAUACAAGGAACACUUUGAUAAUUUUUGUAUUACACAUAAGUGGGUUGUAAUUUUACGGAGAGCCAAUAGAUUUUCUUUCUUUAUUUAUUUUUUGGUCAUAUUUGAGUUUUCAAAUAAAUAUUUGUUCUUAAAAAAUGUUUUUAACACCAAUUAUUAUUAUUAUUUUUUCAAGAUGUGAUCAAAUAAACCAUUAAGUAGUGUUUGUUUUUAAAUUUUUUCUAUUAAUUUAAAAAUAAUUUACGGAUAUCAACCAAUAUAAUUAAAAUAAAUUUGUUAUCAAUAUGUUCGAUUUAGUUAUAUUGGUUGACAUCAACAAGUUAUUUUAACUUUUUCUAUUCGGCCAAAAAACAAAUACCACCUUAGUGUUUCGACAUUUUCCAAACUUUCAUUUUUCACCAUACUACUUGGCCAUAUUUUUAUAUUUAAAAGGGUAAAUACCAAAUUCUAACUUAAUAAAAUUAUUAUGAUCGUGGAUAACUAAGAUCAUAUCUUUGGAUCAUUUAAGAGGAUAUGAUUAUCUUAAUAUAUAUAUUUAAAAUUAAUUGUUGAAUUAAUGAUUAUCUAAUAUUCCAAGAAUAUAUGAUCAUUUUAGGAUUACACUUAUAUGAAACUUCAACUGUAAUGACUUAAAAAAAUCAUCCCACCAAUUAGGGGAGGUGAAAUGCUGCAAUUAUCAUAUAGUUGCCUAAACUUAUGAAUUGCUAUGAAUAAUUUAUUAGUUUAUAAGAGUUCAUAGUUGGGAUAUUUUAUAAGUCGUUCAUUCUUCCUAUCCUUCCCCGUCCGACCUCUAAGGUCUUGGUGCCCGGUGAGCACCACGUAUUGAAAGACCUCACUUUAUACGAGUUCGCGCGUGCGGCGGAUGCAAAAACACGCUAGAACCGGCUAGACCAGAAAGAGAAGAAGCGCUAGGACGGGACGCUAAGGCAAGCUCUAGGCGAAAACCGCCCGGUCUCCAACUCCACCGUCCGUCUUUAGGCCAAGAAGAAGAAACUUGCCGCUCAACCCACUCAGAAGGCGUCAGUUCCGCCACCCGCAUUUCCUUCCGUUUCAGCUUCUUUUGCAUCUUCAUCUUUCUCUGUGGCCAACACUAAAUCGUACUCAACAGUUGACUCAUCUUCCGUAGGAACCGAGCCAGAGACAAAGGUUGAGUCGGUGGUACCCUGUAUCAUCUAUGAAGAGGAGAGAAGUGAGGACAUGGCUGCAAACCUGAGAGUCGACUUCAAGGAGAGGCAGUGCAAACGCCUUUUUGAAUCUAUUAUGGUCAUCUCUCUUUCUGCUAAGAAGACUUGCAUGGAGAUUCUCUACCCAGAGCUUGUCUCGACUAUUGCUCCGACGCUAGAGCCUUCGGCUGUUGCUGCGGGCACCAGUCAUGUGUCGGACGGGAGACCUUCAUUUGUUGGAAAAGCUACUCGCCUAAAGCUAUGUGGGUCUUCCACUGGUUUGGCAUAACUUAGCGAUGACUCCAUCGAGUGUGUUGUUUUUGUCCCUCCACGCCCUCAAACGCCUCAUGCUCCCAAUUGGGAAGAAAUAGCUGAACUGAAGCCAAUUUCCUGCUUUACAGAGAGAGAGGCUCUCGUGAACAACAUAGGGGACCUCUUUUCGACCACUCGACGGAUCUCGAUGGACCUAGAUGGCGACCCCAACAUUUUCUUUAUGGCCCGACUCUCAUUCGGCACCCCAGAAUCCGUCGCUUCCCGUAUCUUACCUAUGCAGAAUUACACAGCCUUUGAGACGAUAGAAAUGGUAAGCGUUUCCUCUUUUCGAUUCAAGGUGCCUUAGCUUCUUGUUAUCUUAAUAUAUUUCUUUUUAGGUGGUAGCCCGCGUCUGCAAUCUGAUGUAACAACUCGCUUUGCUUUUCAAAUGGUUGGAGGUUGUCGAGACUAUGAAAGUGUACAUUGACCACCACAUGGACGACAGUGAAGACCUUCUCUCCAAGCUGAAAGUGGUAGAGAGCGAACUUGCAAUUGCUCGAAAAGAUGUCGACGAGGGAGUCAAGUUGUUAAGGAAUACGGAAAAGGCGAGAGACACAACUAAAGUUGAGACCCACUGACUGAGAGAGGAAGGAGAGACAAUGGAUGCCAAGUGUAAGACGGUUGAGCAGGAUAAUGAGCGGCUGGGGCAGGAGAUCGAAGAACUCCGAGCGAGGUUCAUUGUUCAAAAGGAGGAACUGGAGGACGAGUACCAAAAGCAGGUGGAUGACAUUUUUUUUAUUCAGCUACCAGUGCUGCAUGAAGAAACAUGACAUCACCUAGGAUACUCCCAGCUAUCCUUCAGAUGAUGAGAACGCAACAGUUGGCUACCCUGCCCAAGGAGACGGAGAUAUUGCUGCAAUCAGUCUCUCUGGUGGGCAGACAUGAUCCUUUUAUAUUUUUUUCUGGCCGGAGAUGACUCAACAAGAAGUUGUAAUGAACACUCAUGUUUUUAAUACAUACUUGCCUUUCUCAUUCUCUUUUCACAUACAUUUUACUUUACACAAGCCAAUCUUAUUGAUAAUACUGCUUCAAGUUGGAUACAUUCCAAGAACGGAGCAGAGGUACUUUGUCCAAUGUUUAUAGAUGGUACGCCCUCGAGUCCCCAACCUUAGUCAUGACAUAGGGCCCUUCCCAAUUAGCCUGGAGUUUUUCGGCUCCUAUUUUGGCCGUGUUCUCAAAGACUCUUCUAAGGACUAAGGUUUCGAUUUAGAACAUACGUGGCCGGGCCUUUUUAUUAUAAUGAGCAAUAGCUCUCUGUCGAUAAGAGGCCAUUCGGAUGGCUGCGUUCCCUCUCACCUCAUCUACCCAAUCCAGGUGCUCUCCAAGCUCAUGAUUUUCAUCCAUUUGACCUUGUAUGAUUGUUUUGGUAGUGGACAUGCCUAUCUCAAUUGGAAUAACAACUUCCAUUCCAUAGGCAAGAGCGUAAGAAGUGGUUUUUGUAGGCUAUCCGGGUGUUGUCUGGUAUGCCCACAAGACUCCGAGCAACUCGUCUACCCACUUUCUUUUGGCCAUUUCCAGUUUCUUCUUUAGUGCAGUGAGUAUAAUUUUGUUUAUCACCUCUGUUUGUCCAUUACUCUGAGGAUAACGGGAUGUCAAAUAUAAAUUCUUGAUUUUUAGCUAUGAGCAGAAAGUUCUGAAGGUAAUGCUAUCAAAUUGCGGCCCAUUGUCUACUACAAUUGCUUGUGGGAUCUCGAACCGACAGACGAUGUUUUUCCAGACGAACCCGGAGACGUCAUUGUCUUUGUUGCUAGCAUAGGCUUCUACUUCUACCAAUUUACUGAAGUAGUUAGUGACUACGAGCAGAAACUUUUUCUGUGCGGUUGCGACGGAUAAGAUGCCAACUAUAUACAUCUCUUAUAGUGCGAAUAACCAAUGACUCGUGACCAGAUUAAGGACUUCAGAUGGCAUACGAGGAAUGAGAGCGUACAUUUGAUACCAGUCACACCUCUUGACAUAGUUUUCAACGUCUUGCCUCAUGGUGGGCCAAUAGUACCCCUACGUGUGAGCGCGAUAUGCUAAGGUACGUCCGCCUGCAUGAUUGUCGCACACACCCUCAUGGAGCUCGACUAGGAUGUACUGGGUUUCCAACUUGCCCAAACAUUUUAGGUACAACCUUCCAAAAGAUCGUUUGUAAAGGCCGUCAUUGAUUAGAGUGAAGCGGGUGGCCUACACCUGUGCAUGUUUUUCAUCUUUUGGUAGUUCCCCUGUCCGGAGAUACUUCAUAAUUUCGUGCAUCUAGUCGGUGUUCAACUUAGUAGUACUAUAUAUUGGUGCUAACACAAUUGAUGACAUGGUUUGGAAGUAGAUGGACAACAACACGACCUCUUCUAUAGGGAAAGUGGCGACUAUUCCGGCCAGUGAGUCAGCUUUUAAGUUUUUUGUUUGGGGUACUCUUUCAACAGUCCAUUCGCCUAGUUUUGCUAAGUGAUCUUCUACCAGUGUGAGAUAGCAAGUCAUGUGUUCGUCCUUAGCUUCAUACACUUUCUAGAUUUGUCUGAUGAUUAGUUGAGAAUCGCUACAUAUUUUCAACUUGAUUGUUGCCAAAGUAAAGGCAAAGUCCAGUUCGUCCAAGAUCGCCUCAUACUUAGCUUCAUUGUUAGAGGUAGGGAAACCGAGUCGGAUAACUUGCUCUAGUAGCUCUCCGGUUGGUGAUUGUAAAAUUAGGCCUACCCCGACAUUGGAGGCCCUGGAUGCUCCAUCCACAUGAAGUAUCCAUCACUCUUCCUUAGGGGAGUCGACUAAGUGAGACGGUUUUUGGGGGAGUUCAGCUAUAAAGUCAACCAUGACUUGUCAUUUCAACGUCAGUCUAGGUUGAUAUUUGAUUCCGUACUCACUCAACUCAAUGACCCAUUUUAGUAUUCGUUUGAACAUGUCCGGUUUAUGCGAAGUGCUUCUGAGUGGUUGAUUUGUGAGUAUAAUCACUUGGUGGGCUUGAAAGUACGGGCAGAGCUUCUGGGCGGCGCUUUUCAAGGCUGAAGGUUUGCUCUAUUUUGGAGUAUUGGGUUUCUGCGUCAACCAUCGCUUUGCUUACAUAGUAGACAAGCCUUUGUUCUUUGUCUCUUAUAUGACAAAACAGAAUAACACUGACCACAUAGUUAGACACGGCUAAAUACAUGUAGAUUUGUUCACCAUAUUGAGGGCUACUCAGAAUGGGUGGCUCAGUGAGAUAAUGCUUAACUUCGUUGAAUGCCCGUCUGCAUUCAUCCGUCCAAUCGAUUGCGCUUGCCCUCUUGAGUGUGAGGAAAAAAAGCCUUAGCUUAUUUUUAAGAUGAGCUAUGAAAUGCCUCAACGCAGCCAGACGACCUGUGAGGCACUACAACUCCUUCUUGCUAUUCGGGAAAAAUGUCUUAAGAACAACUUUUAUUAGAUCCGGGUUAAUUUUGAUUUCCUUCUAGGUUACCAUAAACCCUAGGAACUUUUCCACGCUGACACUAAAAACACAUUUAGCUGGGUUAAUCUUCAUGUUGUACGUCUUCAUUAAGCGAAAUGUUUCUUCUAAGUGUUGGGCAUGUUUGCUUCGGGUCUUGCUUUUCACCACAAUGUCGUCGAUAUAGACUUCUACGGUCUGGUCGAUCAAGGGUUUGAAGAUUUGUUAUCAGCCUCUAAUAAGUAGCGCCAAUAUUUUUUAGCCCAAACAACAUGACCCUAUAGCAGUACAGUCCAUGUGGUGUCACAAAUGCUGUCUUUUCUCCAUCUGGUUGGAACAUGGGGAUCUGGUGGUACUCGGAGAAUGCGUCUAUGAAGGAGAGUAUCAUAUGCCCGGAAAUGGCGUCUACUAUUUCAUCUAUUCGGGGCAACAGAAAACUAUCUUUCGGGCAAGCAUCAUUUAGAUUGGUGUACAAAGACUCGCUAUUUUCCAUGUUUUUUCAGAACAACCACCACGUUCGCUAACCAAUCCGGAUAUUCAACUUCCCUGAUAAACCUGAUUGUUAGCAAUUUGUCCACCUUAGACUAGUGUAAAUCCUCCAUUUUGUCCCUUUAGCACAUGUCUUUCAGUUCACUUCCAGUGCUCCACAAUAGUUAUUUGGUAGUCCAUUGCUACUCACACUACUUACCUUUUUUUAGCCACCUUGGAGACUCUGAUUAAGAUAUUUAUCUAUUCCCAUUAUGACAUUGGCAGCCCCUCGAGUUUAGUUUAGGUUUCUUCACAUAAAUGUGUUUCCACUUAGAUCAUCCCAGGCUUAGGUCACUUGACCAUUUUGUUUUAGUUUAGGUUUCACUUAAGUCAUUUUCCACUUAGUUCACCUAUGCACCUUUUAAGUUAGGUUAGAUAUUUUUAAGAAUAGGUUCCACUUAGACACUUCCUUAAACUUAAUUCACUUAGGCUUUUAUUGAAUUCCAUUGGUAGGUUUUGGGCCUAGGAGAGUUUUGGACUUGAUUUCGUUUAUUUUUAUUGCAUAGAUGGUCUUUCAAUAUUUAGUCAUGUGAGUUUGAUACUCACAUUAGUUUAAUAUUUGGAUUUUGAUUGCAUGCAUUUAAUUUUUAACAUUUUUGUUUGUUUCAUUUAUUUAUUUGGAAAAAUUUACGUGAGACUAAUGUUGACUUUUAAUUGCAUGAAUUGAUGUUUGAUUUUAGAUAUGCAUGAGAGUGGCAUAUUUUUUUAAAAUAGUAUAAUUUUAUAUUUUAUUUUCAAUGACAUGAUAUUUCAUUUAAUUUUUAUUUUUUUAUAUUUUUUUUUCUUGCAUGAGAGUGGCAUUGGAGGAUUUAUGGGAAGUAAAGGCUACUAUGAUUGUGGAGAAUUAUGAUUUGUGUGUAGUUUUGAAGUUUAUAAAUGGUUGGUUUUGAGGUUACAGUUAGUGCCAUCAUAAGUUUUCAUGAGUUGUCUUUACCAUAUCAUAUUAAAACUUCUUGUGGGUUGUUUUUGUGGGUAUUUUUUGGUGUACUCAUGGACCCCACAUAGGCUGAAAUGGGCGCCUUAACGAGUUGCGAUAGGCAUUGAAAUUCAAUGCAUUUACAAGUUACACAUGGACUGACAGUGAAUCUGGGCACUUUUAUAGGCUGAAUUUUUAAUAAGAAAAUAUCGUGGUUGUAUGAGAUAUAUUUUGGAAGACAGAAUCAUGCAUUCCAUAUAUUAACAAUCACACUUUCCAUACUAGAAAAAACCACGCACCAUUGCGACUGGGGAAGCCACGCACUUUCCAAAAAAGAAGAAGAUAACUUGUACAUGUAUAAAGAGAAUACACAGUCCCCUCAUGCUAAGUGGAGAAUUCACACAUUCAGUAUUGGAGAUGAUGCACCAAUAUGGGGGUCAACGCUACCAAAAGAGGCAUCCAUUAGUUUUUUCUGAGAAGGGAAUGCACAUUAGAAUUCUCUUUGAACACGCACCAUCAAAUUCUUGGUUGGAAGGAGAACAUGAUGGGAUUGUUGAUUGUUAAAGGUGAUCAUCAUCAAAUUUUUCAUGGUUAGAAGGAGAACACUAUUAGAAGGUUCGAAGAAAAACACGAUGAUAUUGCUCGUGGAAAAGAUGGGAUUUCUCCUAUGGAUAGUAAGCAUAAAACGUUGGGAUUCUCCACAUGAAGGGACAACCGCUAUCACCGAGAGAACAUCUCCAUACAACCCCUUGGGGUCCAAUAUGCACCAUUUAGAUUUUUUUAGUCGGAGAAGAAAACUUACCAUUGGAUAAGGAAAGUGGGACUCUCCAUGGAAGACGUUUUGGGAGAGUUUGAAAUUUUGAGGAUUUGUUUUGGUGCGGAAGAUAUGGAAAUGGCAUGGGAGUUUAAGGAAAGUGAGACUCUCAUUGGAAGACGUUUUUGGGAAGUUUGAAGUUCUAAGGAUUUGUUUUAGUAAGGAAGAUAGGGAUAUUGGGAGUUUAAGGAAAAUUGGACUCCUUGAGAAUAAUUGAGAGUCCACAAUUACAUGUAUUUUUGAAUAUAAAAAGGAGAACUUGAACUGAAAUGGGACUUCAGAUAAGAAGAUUGGAGAAAAAAAGGAAAAAUGAGAGUCUAUUAUUGGAGAAUGGACUCACGGAUGAGGGGAAUUAUUUUGGAGAUCAUGUCAUUAGUGGAAUUUUGGGGCUUAAGCCAUGGAUAAGGAAUGUUAAGCAUUUUUUUGGGAGAAGGGAUCAUAAAGCAUUUGAGAAAGAAGAAAUAAGGCUACGUUUUGGAGAAGAAAAAAUGGGGUAACGACACCAGAAAUCUUGAUGACAACUUUUCCAUUGGGCUUUGGAGGAGAAGUAUGUAUCUACUUUAAGAACAAUAACCAAGAGUGACUCAGGAAGAAAAAGCCUAUGCAUAGUCCACUAUUGGAAGAACUGCAUAAGUUCUCAUAUAGACUCCAUUCUCCAUGGAGAAGCAUUGACAUGCAGUAGCCUGAAAAGAAAGAGAGUCCAUCUUAGAAAGAAUACCACAUACACAGGCUGCCACUUGGAAAAACUCUCCACGCACACACCAAGGGUGAUAGGAUAACCACACAACCCAUAAUUUUAGGAUCUCCAUGUUGGUUGCAUCGUUGAGAAACAACUUAUCGUAUCAAGAAAAAAGAUAGGAAGCAUACACAACCACUGAUUCUAAGAAGGUGGUAGCCCAUUGCACUUUGCCAAAGAUCAUCACUUCAUGCACUCUCAUAAGGGAUCCCACAAAGAGACAACAUAUAAGAAGAAACAGUCCACCUAGUGUCCACAUACAGCCAUUCCACAUGUCGUUAGGAAAGAUAAGUUAAAUCUUAUAUAUUUUAGUGUUGAUUCAUUACUUUGGAUUAAAAAAUUAGGACUUUGUUUAGUGUAAUUUUGGUUCAUUAUUUUGGGUUAAAAAGUUGGAAUUUUGUUUACCUUAGUUUCAUUUCAUUGUUUUAGAUUAAAAUUUUAGAAUCUUGUUUAGUUUUUAUUAUAUUUUUUAGUUUUAAAAGUCGGAAUUUUGUUUAGUUUAUAUGUUUUCAUAAUUUUAGUUUAUUAAAUAUAAUGGAUUCCAUGUGAUAAAGUUCAUGUUUUAAUUUUUGUUUUGACUAAGUUUUGAUCCAUCUUAUUUAGUUUAUUUUGAUUCACCUCUUUUAGUUCAUGAGCUUUUAGAAUUUAAGUUGAUUAAUUUAAUUGGUUCCAUGUCUUUAUUUUCAUCUUUUAAGUAUAUCAAUUUUCAUUCUUGGUUGAUCAUUAGUUUAGACUAUGUGUUUUUCUAAAAUUUUUAUUAAUUAGCUUAAUUGAUCUUAUGUUAGUUCUUGAUUGCUAAUCUCAGUAUGUGCUUGAUUGAUCAUUGUUAAUUCUUGAUUAAUAUCUUGUUAGUUUUAUCUUAUCUAAAUUCAUUUAGUUUAUUCCUAUGUUGAUUGUUUGUUAAAUUUGACUUUUAGAGGUCCUCAGAAGAUAAUCAAGAUUGACCUCCAUUCUCACCACUUUAGUUUGCUUGGUUGUCAAAAAUUUCACUUUAUGAUUUUGUUUUCUUUUGUUUUGCUUAGUAUUUUGUUUCUUAUGUUUUGUUGUCUUCAAAUUAAUUUUUUUAAUUUUAAAAUAAAAUAAUUUUCUCAAAAGAUCCCAUUGAAAAUCUAUUUUACAAAAUACAUUUAGAGUCCUUGAAAUCAAAAUCUCAUUUUCUUAAAGAAUAUGCAACCAUGUUUUGAUCGGUUCGCAUCUUCCUCAGUUUUCAGUAAAAAUUAUGGUUUUGAGUAAGACACGAAUCCAAGCUUGUGGUCUCAAAUAAAUGGGAUAAUUCUAGGCUAGAUUUGUGUAUAUCAAUUGGGGAAUUAGUGAAACCCCUACAUAAAAUCAUUUUUCAAAACUCUUCUUUGCUGCCAAUUUUCAUUUAACCACUGACCCUUUAGCUUUAAAAUUAGUUUCAGCAACUCCAAAACAUCUUUUAAAAAAAUUCUAGAACUUGUAUGAUUUUCCUCACUUCUUGAAUUUAAAAUUUCGUUUGAAUUAGAAAGCAAUUAUAGAAUAUAAGAUAUAAAUGAGUUUUUAGGAGGGCUUUGUUUUCACCCAAUUCUGGAUACCCAAAAUCUUUUGUAAAAAUAAAAUAACAGAUGACUUUUAAAUUUGAUUCAAUAUUUUUUUUCUUAAUUUUAGACUUCUUGCAAUUGGUCUUAGAUAUAUAAAAUAUUUAAAAAUAUACUUUUUUGAGGGAGAUAUGAUUUUUCAAAUUCAUACCUAUUGUACAUGAUGAAAUCUGGACACUUGAUUAGUUGGAGUGUUUUAAAAAUACUUUUGAAUACUCCCCGACCCUGGAUUUAUUUUUCCUAUGAUGUAAACACUUUGAACCAUGAGUUUGAUUUUUUUUUUUAAUAAUUUUAUGUGAUCUCUUAUUAUUUUAAAAAAUUUGUUUAUGCAUGUCACUUUUUUUCACCUAACCUGGACUUUGUAGAACUUUUGGGUGUCUUUGCUGUAAUUUGUCAUUUGAAUGAGUGUUUGGUUUUUGGCAUCUUGUUUUAGAUGUGUAGGAGUUGUUUCUUGAAUUUUUUUGUGAUUAAAUUUCACUCUAAGACAUUUUUUAGAAAUUGUUUUGUGAUGCUCCCUUAACUAAUUGCAUGCUAAGGAUCUUGUAUUUUGCUUGAAAUUGUUAUUAUUUUUGGGGUCAUUUGACUUACCUUGGCUCAAUUUUGGCUUUGGUACUAUAUAUUAGAUAUAAUGAAUAUGUUACAUAAUUUAUAUUUGUCCUAACCACUCUAGCAUUUUUGGAGGAGUCUUAUAAAUCAUACAUGCCAUCUAGGUACGCCCUCUAUCACUUACUUUUCGGAAUUUUAUGAAUAUGCAUGUCGUUGUGAGCCUUGUCGAUGUUUGAUGUAAUCCUUGGGUGUCUAGAUGUCUAUUUGAUUUGCUUUGAUGAAAUAUAUGUCGUAUGUUAUAUUUCUGUGCUAACUUUAAUGUCUUAUGAUAGCGCUUGAGAGACAAUCUAGGUAUACAUCCUAACAUUUCUUUGUGAUCAUGAUUUGACUUUCUGGCUUAAUAUAAUUAUUCAAAAAUCACCUUAGUCUACCUAGGUACCUUCAAUUAAUUGAUUAAUUGCCACUUUUCCCUCAACUUAGUCAUUAGAGACCUCUUUAGGGCUUAUAGGGGUGCUACCUCUUAGAGGUACAUUCCCAAUAGGUAACCUGAUCACCGGACCAAAACUCGGGUUUUUCAAGACUUGCUUUUCCAAAACUAUGGAGUCACUUCUUUAGGGUUUUCUUUCUUAUUUUAUUUUCCUUUUUAAAAUAAAAUAAAAUAAGUGGCGACUCCAACUUUUACAAAACUAAUUCUUCACCAAUAAAAAUGAGUGUCGCCGAUUGAGUGGAGAUGCACGUGAAAAAUACGGGUCCACAACUGGAUGAUCAUUUGCCUGUUUGGGUGGAAGCGUCAAACCUUUUGGCGGACGGGUCAUGAGGAAGGUAUGACGUUGAUUCAAUGUGAAACUAUAGAUGGAUGGAUUCCGGGCAUGUCAAAGUGAGUCCAGAUGAAGAUGUCUCUAUUUUGUUAAAGCACGCCUUCAAAUAGCUUUAAUUCAUCUAACGCAAGGGGAGCUGGCAUAGGUAACAUGAUCACUACUGCAUGAGAGAUGCAGAGGUUGGAGUGGGUCAGCCGCAGGCGAAUAUUUUUCCACCGGGUUUAGUAAUUGCUAUUAUUUCUCCAUAUUUGACGGUUCUGGGCGUGACUCACUAUUGCUUGGGAGUUCGGACUCAAAUGCCACUUGAUAGCACUAGCACGCAGCUAGCUGACUACCAAAAAUGUCGAUUUGUCCAUCCUUGGUGAGGUAGCUCACCAUCUGAUGAUAUGUAGAAGGAAUGACCUUCAUGCUAUGAAGUCAUGCGCAUCCCAUUAUGGCCUUAAAAGGGGAUAACUUCUCUACCACCGAGAAUUGCACGUUCUGGGUGAUCGGACCAACUUGGAUGGGUAAUACGACGUCCCCUAGGGAAGUUGUCAUGGCUCCAUUGAAUCCAGAUAGUAUCCACCCUGGGUUUUCUAGGGCAGAUGGUGGGAGUCCCAUUUGCUUAUAAGUCGACAUCUACAAAAGGUCAGCCGAGUUACCCGGGUCGAUUAGAACUCUUCUCACAUCGAAUUUGCUUAUUCCUAGUGUCAGAAUCAAGACAUCUUCGUGUGACUACAAUACCCGAUUGACGUUUAUAAAAGGGAAGGUAAUCGUGCCGUCCACAGGGCACGUACUUCCACCUGGCAAGUUAUAUAGGAUGAAACUUAUUCGUUCCCUUAUGGAGGCUGCGUAGAGCACUCUCUGCCUUUUUCGCUUGGAGUUGUAUUUUUCAUCAGCAGGGUCUCCAUGGAUGUAGUUGAUGACAACUCUGGGAGAUGCUGAAGUUGUGGGGGUUUGGACGGCCAAACCCCGAACCGUUUUUCUUUGUCUUAUGACUGUGCGGACAUGUUGUCUCAAGUGCCCAACCCUGAUUAGUCUUUUCACUAAGUAGUGAAGACUUCUGCACUGUUCUGUGGUAUGAUCAUGAUCUUUGUGGUGGGUACACUUCUGGAUUUGAUCUCGUUUUACCGGAUCUAUCUUAAUUGGUUCUAACUAUCUGAAAUUGGACAGGUCACGAAUCAUGGGGAGAAGUUUAUCGUAUGAAAUGUUGAGUGGGGUUAGGCUAACUUGGCUUGGUUGCUGCUGGUCAUUCUACCCCUUACUAGGUUGUCUCAGUUGGUUUAAGGGCUUAGAGCUUCCGAUAUGGUCGUUUUUGGUUGGUCGGCUGGUGACAUGACCUAUUGGGUAGUCAUGCGAACGUUGUCUUUGAGCAUAAAGUACUUGUUUGCUCGUCUGAACAUGUCGUCCAUUGUUGCUGGCGGCUUCUUGGAGAAAGAUUUGAAGAAUGACGUACCUGGACAAAUGCUUCUCUUGAAGAUUUGUAGGAUGACGUCUAUGUUACAAGACUCUACUUGGAGAACAACCUGUCUGAACCAUUUCACGAACUCUCUUAAGGAUUCAUUGUCCUACAUCUUGAUGUUUUGCAGGGUGCUUAUGUUCUGCUUGUAGCGAGCUGAACAUAGGUAGUGCCCCACAAAGGCUUCUAACAGAUCUCGAAAAUUGUUCAUGGAGUUCCUUGGGAUGUGGUGGAACCACGAGAGAACUUGGCCGUGUAGGCUGGCCGGAAAGACUUUGCAUAACAGUGCAUCAUUCCCUAUGUCUAGGGUUAUAAGUUGUCAGUAUUGCAUGAUAUGAUCGAACGGAUCGCUCAUUUCGUCGUAUGUCGUGAAUUUUGGCACCAUGAACCCCCUUGAGGGCUCAUAAUUGAUGAUAUGAGAACUAAAAAGAAUGGAGAGCAUGUCAUCUAGUCGUCGGUUGAUAGAGCCAAGAGGACCUCGAUCUGCUAGAACCCUUGCUUGUUGUUGUGCUGGAAAAUGGGAGGGCCACUUCGACAUAACUGCUGCAAUCGAGGAACCAAGAUGGACCUCCUAGGUUGCUGCUACACAUGGUUUUCUUUCCAUGCUAGGUGUCUAAGGUCCCAGCCAGGCCUGCAUUACAUCAGACAGUUGCGACCUCCUGUCGUGCCUCAUUUUUAUUGACACACGGGUAUAAUCAGAGCUUUCGUUUAGUAGCGCUUGGCAAGCUAGUAAAAAAUUCUCAUCGGAUUGUAUCUCAUGACUGCUAUGGGGGAACUUUGCGUUCCUGGAAAAUGACAUCUCGUCAUUUUGUUUGGAUGUUGUUCGCUGGCUUUUAGGUUGUCAGUUGUGAGAGGGGCCCGAUGAUGAUACUUGGGCACACAACACAUCAUUUUCUCCUUUAAGUCUUCUCGUCUCGCGGAGCAAUGAUUGUACAUGUCGCUCACUCUCUUGCUGCCAUUUUUCCAUGUUCUCACGCCAAUUGAAGUAGCCUUCGCUACCCAUGGUCGAUGAUCGACUCCUAUAAGGCGUUGACAUCCUUAAACGUUCCCACAGACAUCGCCAAUGGUAGUGCAAGGUUAACUGGAGUCAAGUCCGUCUAAGUUAAAAGGGUUUAGACAACCUUCCUCCCUACUUUGUGACUUUCAGAACUCCAACCCAACACUGGGGAGAUUGGGUGGGUUUUUUCCGUGCAUAAAAGAUGUCCAGGUAGGUAGUCCAGGCACAUAUCUCCAAAGCUUAAGUUAGGCAAAGAUAGUUUAGGCUCCUUCAAUGAGAGAAUGAGUAGGUUAGUUCAUGUGUGUGUACCUUGUUUGUGCUUGAGGAAGGUUUUUAUAGUGCUGAAGAGAAAGCCAUUGUAGUGUUGACCAAAUACUUUGACCUUCUCUGUAAUGAUGACUAUCUUGUAGGUGGUAGGGCAAAAAUCAUUAUAGCUUUAGGCACCUGACAGGUGCCAUCAAAAGAUAUGUCAUGAUGCUUAACCGUUCAAUUGCCCGUUCCUUCAACCUGUCGGAGGUGUGGGAUUGUGUGUAGUAAUUAAUUGACAUGAACUUGAGGGUUAGGGAAUGUCCCAUUAGUCAUUCCUAUGCCAGAUGUGAAUGAUUACGUAAAGCAGUGAGCCUUAAAGGCUGAUUAGGUGGUUCCGUCUGCUCAGAGAGCCCGGUCUUACUUGCUGUUUGUCUACUCAGGGAAAUAGGCCCUCCUGUCUGUGACCAGAUGAAUUGAUCGUGGUCUGGAUUGAAGAGUCCGGACACUGCUUCCCUCUUAUUUGGACAGUGCUUAGCUGGAAGUGACACAUAAAAUGACACGUGGAGAGGCCUUACAGCAGGCAGGGCUGCUUCCAAUUGUGAUAUAUUGAGCCAGGGACACGGCAGUGAGGCAUAGUAGUUUUUUUGACACAACAAAUCCCAUCUAUCAUCAGUUCAUCACUCAUUCUUGUAUCUGUAUAUGGAAGAAUUGGAAGAGAAGAGGAGUCCAUCUCCCCAUCUCCCCACCCCAACCAAGAAACAAAAAAGGGAAAAAAAAUGAGGAAAAAAAAAGAAAAAAAAAAUCAAAAUAAGGAAUAUGGAGAAGUCAAAAAAGAAAAGAGAAAAGGAAAAAAAGGAAGCAGAAAUGUAUCAGUAAGGUUUAACUUGUUUGACAACGGCAUCGCAUUUUGGUAGUCGACAGGAACCCAUCAACUUUUGCACCUUUUUUUUUUCAGUUGUUUUGUACCUUAAUCUUUAUUUCUUUGUUACAUUCCUUC
rnacentral:lncRNA from 1 species